rnacentral:rRNA from 1 species
AGAGUUGAUAUGGCUCAGGAUGAACGCUGGCGGCAGGCUUAACACAUGCAAGUCGAGGGGCAGCGGGAUGUAGCAAUACAUUGCCGGCGACCGGCGGAUGGGUGCGUAACGCGUAUGCAACCUACCUUAUACAGGGGAAUAACCUUUCGAAAGGGAGACUAACACCCCAUAGUAUUGAUUUAAGGCAUCUUAGAUUAAUUAAAUAUUUAUAGGUAUAAGAUGGGCAUGCGUAUGAUUAGCUAGUUGGUAAGGUAACGGCUUACCAAGGCGACGAUCAUUAGGGGUUCUGAGAGGAAGGUCCCCCACACUGGUACUGAGACACGGACCAGACUCCUACGGGAGGCAGCAGUGAGGAAUAUUGGUCAAUGGGCGCAAGCCUGAACCAGCCAUGCCGCGUGCAAGGAAGACGGCCUUAUGGGUUGUAAACUGCUUUUACAUAAGACUAACCGUAUAUUUGCGAAUAUACCUGAAUGUAUUAUGAGAAUAAGGAUCGGCUAACUCCGUGCCAGCCGCGGC